UUCUUCCUCUCUAUCUCAUCAAUCAAUCAAUCAAUCUUUAAAGAAAAAAAGAAGAGAAAAGAGACAAUGGGCUCAAGAGACCCCUACUGAGUAGCCUUCUUUAACAAAUUCUAUCCAGUGAGGGUGUUGUGUCAUUAUCAACACAGCAAGGAUAUUGUUAUGACUUUAUUGCUUCUUGAAAAAUAGUCUAGUGAAAGAAGGAGGAAGACUUGCAUAAAAUUUCUAAAGUCCAUGAGGUGGCAGAGUGAAUAAGAUGCUGGUCUCAAAAGCAUGAAGUCACCAGUUCAAUCCCUGGCAUUGCAUGUUUCUGAGUGAUAACUCAGUUCAUUUUUUCUCUCUUCCCUCAGUAAUAAAUGAAUAAACCUUUUGUAAAACUGUC